AGGUCCUCGUCUUUAUCCUCUCCAAUUGGCUCAUCGUGUCGCUCCUCUGUCAGUACACCGCCAAGCGCCACUGGCGGCAGAGCCGCAUGGUAUGUUGGCUCAUCCGCGGCAUCCUGUGGGUGCGAAGCAUGCUAAGCCACCCUAACCUCAGCUUCAAGCAGCUCUCCGUGCUAAGGUUCUUCCAACUGUCGUCGCCUUCGCCGAUCAUGGUGCCAACCAAGGCAGUGCCCAAGGAAGUGAUGGAGUCGAUCGUGGAUUAUCUGGUGGUUCACUUGGAUGUCUACGGCAUCGAUGGCCAUGACGACCCUCUCAAUUCGGCCUGGUCCUCCACACUGCAACAGGAGAAGCACAGGGCAUACCGUCCCCUGCUCUUGCCGGUGUGUGAGAGCAAGAGCAUCGCUGAGUUCAUCCUCACCUGUCACAUUGCCACCGCCCUAAUGGAGGUGAGGUACCCGCAGGACGAAAAGGAAAUGGGAUCUCAUCGCAAGGUGGCGACGACGCUGUCCAAGUACUGCACUUACUUGGUGGGCUUUUACCCAGGGCUUCUUCCGGACGACAAGAAUGGGACAAAGCACACUUACAAGAAGAUGAAGGAGGACAUGAACAAGGAGCUUGGAGGGUGCUGGUGGUACCACCUGUCGCUGCAGGGAACCAGGUACAAGAGGCUGAUGGAGAUCGGCGAAUCGAAGCAGAAGGCCGUGACAAUGGUGCGCAACGGGGCCAGGUUAGGGACAGCACUGAUCGAGAAGGCCGAGGAGAACAACGAGGCGCGUGAUCGCGUGUGGGAGCUGCUGAACGACCUUUGGACGGAGGUCAUGGUGUAUGUGGCGCCGUCGGCCGGCGACCUCCACGUGAAAGCCCACAAGGAGGCGCUGGCGCGCGGCGGUGAGUUCAUCACCGUGCUUUGGGUGCUGUGUACGCACACCGGCAUGACCAGGCCAGCCCUCGCACCGUGGGAGGUAGCACGUCAUGCGUUUGAACCAUAGAGCAUUAUUGGCUUCCCGUGUGUGCCGAUCUUUCGAGGACAGCUUGCUUGGGAUGGUUCAUCUCACAUGCUCCAUUCCGCUACUAACGCUAACAUUAGUACCGCGUCAUAAUGUGACCGGUACUAAGGGAGUGGACGAAAGAUAUAUUAAAAAUAGAUAUAUAGCCACCCGUUGUGAAUGCAUGGGUUGAUGCCAGUAAUUCCUAGAAAACGAGGCCAACCACAACCUCUUCAUCCACUUCUCCGACGUGAGCGCACAAUUCUCAACACUAGUAAGAAACAGAGCUUUAGUCCCGGUUUUUUAGUCCCGGUUGGUAAGGAUCAUAGAUCCCAAAAAUCCAAUCGAGACUAACUAUUCAAGGCUAAAUGACUCCUUUAGUCCCGGGUCAUUCACCUGGGACUAAAGGUGCCCUUUAGUUCCGGUUGGUGUUACCAAGCGAGACUAAAAAAAUUCCAAAAAAAAUAAAAAAAGCCAUCCGCGCCCGCCGCCCGCCUGCCUCCCACGGCCGCGCUGGCCUCAUGCUGCCCGCCCGCGCCCACGCCGACCACGUGCUACGACCCGCCCGCACCCACCCGACCGACCGCCCGCGUCGGAGCAUGGAAGAAAGGGAGAGGAGGAAGAAGAAGAGAUAAGGUGGAGAGGCCCUGCGUGGGAGAUAAGAAAGGGAGGGGAGGAGAUAAGUGGAGAGAAAGGGAGGCGACGAGAUUUUGUCUUGGUUGGAAUUUCCAACCGCGACAAAAGAUUUACUUCCGGUUGGAAUUUCCAACCGGGAUAAGGGUGGCGUCGAUGUCAGAUUUUUUAGCUGUUAGAACCAAGCCUACAACCGUGACUAAAGCCCCUUCAGUCGGUGGCCUUUGGUGCCUCAUACCUGGGACUAAAGUCACUUUAGUUCCGAGUCCAAAGUCAACCAAGAUAAAAGCAUCAAGAUGGAAGGUCAGUUCUCUAGUAUUGCAAGCCUAGUGUCUGCCACCUCCUCUCCACCAACAUGUCCCUCUUUCUGCAUGUAACACUUUCACACAUGCAUGUAACUUGAUUAAUCUUCUCAUGCGUGUUCACAACAAACGCAUGGAUGAAAAACAUGUCAAGAUUAAUUUCCAACACUUUUUUCUUCUAUAGAUAGUUUCCACUAAGUGGUUCACCACAUAAUAAAAUUUAGAUACUUGUCUCUGCAUAUCAUCGAUCAAUGUUGUUAGAGGGAUACAACAUUAUCAUUGUGUACAUCAUAUCAAUGACCGAACUUCAACUAUUAUAGAUACUGUUAUACUGUUAGCAAUGCAUAUAUCUCAAAUAUUAUUGCUUCUCUUUAAUUAGCUAAAGAAUAGGAUGCUAGAAUGAAAACGUCAAAAGAAAAAACAUAAUGAUGAAGGCAUCAGGUCCUCUCUUUUGGGGGCCAAGAUUCCUGCUGAUAUUGAUAACAAAAGAAGGAUACCAUGGGUUCUCUCCCAUUUGGAACUAUAUGUGACAAAAGUUAUGCCAGUACCUUAAAUGCUAAGGCUUGCUCAUCUUUUGAAUUUUUGUUCUUUGGCGGCCCCUGUCAUUUGAGCCUUUUGAUAAAGUAAAGGAGAGGAGAAUAAGCGCUAAAGGAAAGACCAACUGCUAUGGUGUUACCCGAACACCAUUGGCGGCAUCUUUCGAUUUACAGUACAUGCAGGCACGCCAAUACUCUCCUUCAAUCGUGUGCUUGCAGAACCUAUGAAAACGAUGCUCAUGCUUUGCAAGGGCACGGAAAUUUCGACUCAGAACGUGUCCAGAGGAAAUGGGCCCACUCGUAUGAUUCAUGGGAACAUGAACAAACAGAGACGUUCAGAUUCAGAAGUAUGGAAUUUGCAAGUCCCCGCAACCCACCGCCCCCACGUUGCUCCCGCAUGAGUGACACUGGUGGACGAAACCCUCGCCGCUGCCGCCCCUUCCUCCCUCUCCCCACCGCUGUGCCACCGCCCAAGCCGGCCGCUGAAAGCCUACGCGUCUCAUGAGGACGGCGGCGGUGGGGCGGCCUGCUUCUCCCCUUGAUCUCCUGGUGGGCGUGGCCGCUGUGGAGGUCAGAGGGAGUCGCCCGUAGGGCGACACACGGCCGUGACAGCGAGGCCGGAUCCGGGGCCCCUGUGGCCGGAUCCGGGGCCCUCGAUGCCGGAUCUGUCUCCAAGUGCGGUGGCGGUGGCUUCCCCCACGCGGGGCAGUGGUCACCCUGCCCGGUGCGGAAGCUGCACGAGCGGUGUGCGCCAGGGUGGAUGCCGCGCGGUGGCGGCUGCGUGGGCCAAGGCUGAGCAAGGGGCGAAGUGGGCGGCCGCGGUCCUAUGGCAAGGUGGGGUCAACGUGCAGGCCUCCUUCGAUGACUACCUCCAGGACCGCACCAUGUUCCCCGACGAGAGCAAGAGCCAGCGGAUCAGUGAUGGGGAGUGGCGGGUCCAGAUGCUGCUGCUGCAAUUCCUCCUCGUCACAGUGCGCCCUGUGGUCAUCAUGCAGCUGCAACACCGCACUGGUGGGCUCGACCCCAGUGGCGACAUCUGCAGUCCUCGGCGGUGAGCUCCUAGGGAGCGGUGACAGUGUGAAGGCGACAACGGCGAUCUGGGUGGUGCGGCGGUGGUCCCGAUGCGAGGCAAAGAAGGCACAUGGUAGCAGGGGCCGCUAGGAGGUGGGGACACGGAGGAGGCGCCGAAGGACAAGACGAGGAGGAGGUGUCGGGCAUACACCUCAGGGCCACGAGUAGGCCUUGUACGGCCCACCCAGGGGCGUACUCGGACAUGAGCAGGAGUUGGAAGCUAUGUCACAGGGUAACGUAGCCUACACGGACUACUGAAGACUAGUCUUGGUGCAUAAGGAAACUACUCUACCUAGUUGGAGUAGGACUCUGUAAUCAUAAUCGACUAGGAUUCCACCCUGUAACCCUGCUCCCCCGAUAUAUAAGGGUAGGCAGGGACCCCCUCCAAAGAACCAACUCAUACGCAAUACAAACAUCACACAAGACGUAGGGUAUUACGCGUUCUAGCGGCCCAAACCUGUCUAAAUCGUGUGCCUUGCAUCACCAUCAACUCCUUGAUUCUCGACGUCUCCACCACACAAAAUACCUCCUAGAGGACUCCCUAAGCGGGUUGCCGGUCUAAAACACCAACAGCUGGCGCACCAGGUAGGGGAAGUCGCCGAGUUUCUUAGCGCGAGAUCGAUGGCACCAAUUGUCAUCAAGCCAGCGCUCGCUUUCAAAGCAGGCGCAACUUUCAUCUUCGACUCCUGGCUUUGCAUCACCAACGGCGCCGGAUCCUUCCAGUGCUACCUCAUCGACAACCGGGAGAAAGAGCAUCUCAACGAAAACCCUCUUCGUAAAGAAGCAGACAGCCUCAUCGAGAAAAUCGACAAAUUCAAUCUCAGAUCAAGAUUCGACUACAACUCGAAGUCCAACGACGACUCCGAGUUCGACUACAACUCGAAGUCUGACUAUGACUCCAUUUUUAGUUUCGAGUUCAACCCCAACUUGGGGUCCAACUACAACUCCAAAUCAUAUCCAGGUCAAACUCCAUUCGGACUCCACAACGCAGCCACGGUCCAUCACUCCUUACUCGAAUCCAAUUCGGACUAGAGUCGAAGGAAGACUAUGCUACGACUCGGAUACACCCGAAGAGUUCAUCAGCAACUGCCACAGCUUCGUCGAUGACGACUUCCACGGGCGGCUCGCCGGUGACUUCUCCGACUACGUCGCGGCGCUCACUUAUGACUAUGGGCGGCUUGCUAACAAUUUCUUGGACUAUGUCAUGGUACUCGCCGACGACUACUUCAACAGGUGGCUCACCGGUGACUUCUCUGACUACGUCGUGGUGCUCACUGAUGAGUACGGGCGGCUCACCGACAAUUUCUCAGACUACGUCAUGGCACUCACCGACGACUACUUCGCUUGGCGACACACCGACGAAAACUUUGUCUGCUCACUGACGACUUCUCCGACUACGACACAGCGCUGGCUGACGACUAUGGGCGGCUCGCCGAUGAUUUCUCGGACUACAUCGUGGCACUCGACGACGGCUACUUCGACGGACGGCUCCCCGACGACUAAUCCGACUUUGCGACGUCCCUCGGCGACCCACCGAUGACUACUUCAACUUCGCGCGGGCGCUCGACAACUCGUUGAUGGCUACUUCGCUCGGCGCACACCAACGAAUACUUCGACUGCUCACCGACGACUUCUUCGACUACGUUGCGAUGCUCGUCAACGACUACUUCGACGGGUGACUCGCUAGUGACUACGUCGACUACUUGUCCCGACUAGAAAACUAGUCGGGGCAGAUUUCGCACCAUCAACGACUGGUCGGAACCGACUCCGACUAGUCAGCUUCGUCAACAACCGUCAUGGUUUCAUUGACGACCACCUUGGCUUCAUCGACAAUCAUCGACGAAUCAAGCUAAGUCUCUUUUCUGACAAUUUCCUAGCUUGAUUUCCUCUUGCGCACAAUACGCGCUCUACUCGCUAGAGGGCAGCAAACUCUCGCGCACAACACGCACUCUACUCACCGGAGGGCAGCAAAACUCUUGUGCAAUCGUGCUUGCUUUUUGUCGCAGCAGCGACUACUCACUUUUGUCUUCUCUUAAGAUCACUACUCUUCUCAAGAUGAACUUGCCUUGACACGUGAACGCCUCAGGUGCACCUGUGACGCCAAAUGCUAGCACACAUACACGAGACCACGCUCUUAGUUGUGCACAUAGCAAUGCCCAUACAUGUAUAUGAGACAACGCUCUCACACAUGCAAUGGCUACGGCUAAAUGGGGACUAAGAGCCUAAACGUAAUAGGCUAAAUGCUCGAGAAGAAUAUGAUCAAAAUAAGAGCAUGACACACAAUAUUUCAUAUUGAUCACUGAAUAACUUUCAGUAGUUUCAAUAUUCUACAAAAAUGCUACAUAUUGUACGCAUCUUUUCUUUCAAGUCAAACUUUGGCGAUGACGCUCGUCGUGUCACUAAGCAUGCCUCUAACGGCAUAGACUAGUUCCCGAACUCGGGGACUAAGCACCAAUCACUACUCGGGAUAUCUCUAGUGACUCAGCUAGCUCCUAGGCUCGGGGGCUAGACGCCGCAAAACUACUCGAUGUGGCUCCUACGGCUCGCCCAGCGCAUAAGCUCGGGGGCUGGAUGCCGCAAAACUACUCGGAUGAUGACUUACGCAGAGAUUCAAGAUCCUUGAGAUGAUUAUUCAAUCAAUUCAAGGCUCGAGGGCUGAUAAGCUACACCCAUCAGUUGAUUUUUUGUCAAGCCGGAAGAAAAAGUUUCAAGAUUUUGACCCUCAGCCUGAUUCUACGAGUCAACCUAAGGCUCAGGGGCUCCUCCAUAUGGAGUGUGAUUGUCAUCGCACUAUCAUAUAAAGAUUCAAGACAAAGGCUACUUGAAGCAACGUUACGCAAAGCAGAGAGUACCUUCCAGCCAUGUGACAGUACUCGGUUACUCGAAGGCUAGCCACCACGAGAAGCGCUCAAAAAGCACCAGAUAGUACUCGGGCAACCUCUUCAAGUACUCUGAGCUGUUCCACUCGACUACAAAGUACUCGGGGGCUUGUCAGGCAUACAUCCCCAGCCCCACGAGUAGGCCUUGUACGGCCCACCUAGGGGCAUAGUCGGACGUGAUCAAUACUUGGAGGCUACGUCAUAGGGUAACAUAGCCUAAACGGACUCCUGAAGACUAGUCACGGUGCAUAAGGAAACUAUUCUACCCAGUUGGAGUAAGACUCUGUAAUCGUACUCGACGAGGAUUCCACCCUGUAACUCUGCUCCCCCGAUAUAUAAAGGCGGACAGGGACCCCUUCCAAAGAACCAACUCAUAAGCAAUACAAGCAUCAUACAGGAUGUAGGGUAUUACGCGAUCUAGCGGCCCAAACCUAUCUAAAUCGUGUGCCUUACGUGACCAUCGACUUCUUGAUUCUCGACAUCCCCACCGCACAAAAGACCUCAUAGGGGACUCCCUAGGUGGGUUAUCAGUCUAAAACACCGAUAGGAGGUGCGAUGGACAAUAGUGACCCAUCUAGAAGAGCUGCAUGGAGAGGAUGCCGGUGCAGAGGACGGCAACGUGGAGAUGGUCGUGCAAGCGAUGAGGAGCGGAGCGGCGGCUCGAAUGCCACGAGGCCAUUCUGGUGCCGCGGGAACCACUCACAUGCUGACGUUGUGGUGGUGUGAGGAUCUACGCUGGUGGUAGUGGGGGCCAUUGUCGCAGAAAGCUUUGUGUUUGCGCACAUGGUACAACUGAGAUUAUGACGGCGGCAAGGUGGAGGUGAAGUUAUUAGAGUAGCUCGGUGGGACCAUGUCACCCUGAUGGAAAAUCAUGUCUGGAUCCUUGGUAUGGAGUCCAGCGGUGGAAGUGGUGAGAUCCCCGUUUGCUUUAAGGUGAUGUGUACGAGGAGUUGUGUGUGGCGGUGAAUGUGGCUAGAACCCCACACAUUUUGAGUUGCCUUGGAGGGCCAGGAUCCGGUGCAGUGUUUUGAUGGUUGGUGUGUACGGUGCGAUAGCAGUGCUUCGGCGUUGGGUCCUGCAGUGCGGUGGUCGUUUCAGUGUGGUGCAGUGUGCUCCUCCUUUGACUUAUGCUAAUACAAAGCCGUGGAUUGGGAGAUCGAUGACCGUGUGUGUGUGACCUGAGGACGACGACGACAUGGUAGAGAAGCCCUAGUAGCUACACGACUUGCAGCGGACUGCGACGGCCAGUCCUACGUGGCUUCGGCUGGUUUGGCUGGGACAUCGUCGGGGACGAUGGCGCUAGCGAUGAGGGCUACUUGGCGGCUUUUCCUGCUCAGUGGUGGUGGCAUGGUGGUCGCUGCUAGCUCAAGCGUUAGCGUUGAGUGGCUUUGCGUCGACGACCACCCAUAGAGUUCUUUUUUUGUUUUGAGUUGAGUCGGCAUUAUCUGUUGGGAGCUACUUCGGUGGCUCUGUUGUUAUACCCAGUCUAGGAUCUUUCUUCUUUUUAAAUAAUCGACAGCUCUCCUGCCUGGUUUGUUUGAAAAAAAUUCAAAAAUACGGUUGGAUGUAAGAUUAACGAGUUAAUCUUCAUGUAGCAUGUACAUAGACAUGUAACCAAGAAACACAAACUUUUUUACAACGGAACUCAAGUGUAUUUGAGUUGUACAGGCAGAGAUAUGACUAUAGAAAUUGGGGAAGCAGCACUUUGCAUGUAAUAUAGGGUUGAAUAAAUCACCUCUACCGUGGUUUAUACGUCAGUACUGUACAACAAAACCUGGCCACCAUCCCUAAAUUACAUGAUAAAAACUCUAUCAUCUACAACCAACAACUCUAGGUACGGUAGUUGUACACAUUACACGAUAUUGGUACGUAUGUUUAACUUGACCUGAAUGCAUAUGUUUAACCUUGGAGAAGAUAGUCCGAUUCAACCCUUAGAAAUCCUUUAAGAGAUGUGUCCAUGUUAAUCUUGCUACUACUAAUUGGAGAUACCGGAGGAUUCUCAAGUUAAGACGCAUGGGCGGCCGUGCUAGAAAAAAUAAGAUCUCAAAAACUCAUGAAAACAGAAAUUGCACCUCAUCACAAGGUGGACACGGUGCCCUACUGCAGCCCAAGCAACUACUACACUUGCAUUGGUGUUCUUUUCAGACAGUGCUCGCUGCAGGACAAAACGCUGACAGAGAUUUGUUGUUGCCAUUCUAGAAUCGUUUUAGCUGUGGCUUCGUUUCAUUCAGGAUUAAUUUGCAAAAAAAAUGUAUUUUCAGUGGAAAAUAAUGUAACCAGAUUGGCUCGAUUGCCCCAGAAAGAUAUAAUAACUCCAUGCAGUAACAUAUACAUGGUCAUACUUUAAUUAUUGUGCGUACAGUUGUACUACAGCAAGGCAUAUAUCUUAGCUGUCUCUUCGCUUUAACUAAAGAAUUGGAUGCUAGGAUGAAAGAUCCAUGGUUUGGGGCCACUAUUACUAGCUUUCUGCUGAUAUUGAUAACGAACGUAGGAUGGCAUGGGUUCCCUCCCUUUCUACAAAUGGGAGAGAACCCUGGUAUCCUUCUUUCGCUAUCAAUAUCAGCAGGAAUCUUGGCCCCAAAAGAGAGGACCUAAUGCCUUCAUCAUUAUGUUUUUCUUUUGACGCUUUCAUUCUAGCAUCGAUCCUAUUCUUUAGCUAAAGCGAAGCAAUAUUUGAGAUAUAUGCAUUGCUACAGUAUCUAUAAUAAUUGAAGUUCGAUCGUUGAUGUACACAGUAAUGUUAUAUUCCUCUAACAACAUUGAUCGAUGAUAUGCAGAGACAAGUAUCUAAAUUUUAGCUCCAAGUAAGUUUUAACCAAAAGUUUAUCUUAAGGGGUUCCACGACCCAAAUCUGUACUCCCCUAAAAAUAAACUUCAAUGGUAGUCCGACGGACUAUAGGGCCACCUGAUUAAACCUAUGAUUAACGACCAACAUAUCUAUCACUUACUCUCACUAUUUCCUUAUUAUUUGGUGAACCGCUUAGUGGAAACAAUCUAUAGAAGAAAAAUGUGUUGGAAACUAAUCUUGACAUGUUUUUCAUCCAUGCGUUAGUUGUGAACGCGCAUGAGAAGAUUAAUCAAGCUACAUGCAUGUGUGAAAGGGUUACAUGCAUGUGUGUGAAUGCAGUGCAUGCAUGCGCGUAUGGAGAAGACUAGGAUCUGCAUGCAUAUGGAAGCUUAGGGAGUUAUGUGUUACUCAAAGAGUCUCUAGACAAUGUGAAUCGAACGUGUCUUGGUACACUGGUAGAAAACUGAGUAUUAGUCCCAGUUGGAACGUUGCAAAUCUCCCAAAAAACCAUCCGGGAUAAAGCAAUCGAGAUAAAAGGGGGUGUCUUUUAUCCCAGGUCCCUCAACCGGGACUAAAGACACCCUUUAGUCCCAGUUGGUAAUACCAACCAGGACUAAAUGGUUUUGCAAAAAAAAUUAAAAAAUAAAUAAAUUCCUGUGGGGUCCUAGGGAGGCCUCCCCGCGACAAGCCACAAGUCAUGCGAUUUUCACGCGAAAUAUGCGCAUGCGCGGCUCGUGGGAUUCGAACCCACGACCUCAAGCCUCGCGCGUAGCUUCCUUGCCAUCCAACCUACACAUCAUAUCUAACUAUAUAGGGGAUCCAAUCCUUUUAUACUAACUUGUGGGGAACCCUUUAAUCCCGGUUGGAGAUACCAAACGGGAUAAAAGACCCCCUUUUAUCCCGGUUUGCAUUACAAACUGAGAUAAAAGGGUCUGGAACAUUUAUUCCUUCCCCGGAGCACAUGUGGGGGACCAUUUUAUCCCAGUUGGAAACACCAACCGGGAUAAAAGACCCUAUUUUAUUCCGGUUGGUAUUACAAACCGGGAUAAAAGGGUCCGAGGCCUUUAGUUCCUUUUCAGCCACCCGUGAGGGACCCUUUUAUCCCGGUUGGAGUUUCCAACCGGGAUAAAAGACCCCAUUUUAUCCCGUUGGUGUUGUGAGCUUUAGUCCCGGAUGAUAACACCAACCGGGAUUAAAAGGGUGACCUUUAGUCCUGGUUAUUCUUACCAUCCGGGACAAAAGGGUCCCCCACAGGUAGCUAAUUUUUUCACCCGGGACUAAAGGGUCCCCCACGGGUGGCUGAUUUUUGAACUGGGACAAAAGGUAACUUUUAGUUCCGGUUGCAAAUACCAACCGGGAGUAAAGCUCUGCGAACGCCCUUUUGUACCAGCCUUCUUUAAACCGGGAUUAAAAGGAAGCGCAUCGAAAGUUAGUUCUCUACUAAUGGUAGUGUGAAACCCGGUAGUUCCUCAGCUUCUCCUGCUUCGAAUCUGAACUCCCCUCCCCGUGCUGACAGAAAAAGGGGUAUUUAUACCCUAGAGACGCCAUGGUAUAAAAGAGAAGUGGGCGAGGUGAAAGCCCAUGCCGAUCGGCCUAGGUGGGUCCAAGCCGAUCGACCUGGCCCUUCCUUUCAUCCCCAAUUGCUCAAUGGAAACUCUCAUUUCAUCAAGUCUCUCAAAGCCUAUGCUAGAACAUUGUCAACCUAUUCUACUUACAAACAAGUGGUAGGCUUAUCUGGAUCUUGGUAGGUAGAAACAGUCCUUGCAAAGUAUAAUAGUCAGAAUAUUAUCAAAUUAGGAAACACUUCUAUUGGGUUGUCAAAAAGGUCAUGGAGAAAUAGUUGCUUAUAGAGAGAGAAUGGAACACACACUUUUUUAGAUGGCGGACAUGUGCAAGGGAAAAUAGGUGAUCCCGAGACACAAAUGAAGUUAUUGUUAUCGAGUUGCAUAUGGUUAGAAAAUUUUAGUGUUAACCCUGCUCUUAAUCAUAUGUAACAAGACAUGGCACUCCAUUUAGAUGUUCAAUUAAUAUUCUAGCUUAUUAUUAUGGAGGAUAGACAUUUUUCAAUGAUGAACAAGCCACAAAGAAUUUAGAACAAUGCUCUCAAAUUUAAAUCAACUUCAGAACUUUUCUUUCAAUGGAGCAUAAUUUUCAAACAGGACUAGAUCAACAUCAGCAACAGAAUUCUUGCAAUUGCUCAAUGGAAACUCUCAGCUCAUCAAAUCUCUCAGAGCCUAUGCUAGAACAUUGUCAACCUAUUCUACUCAUAUAAACAAGUGGUAGGCUUAUCCGGAUCUUGGUAGGUAGAAACAGUCCUUGCAAAGUAUAAUAGUCAGAAUAUUAUCAAAUUAGGAAAUACUUCUAUUGGGUUGUCAAAAAGGUCAUGGAGAAAUAGUUGCUUAUGGAGAGGGAGAGACUGGAACACACACUUUUUUAGAAUGUUGACAUGUGCAAGGGCAAAUAGGUGAUCCCGAGACACAAGUGAAGUUCUUGUUAUCUAGUUGCACAUGGUUGGAAAAUGAGUAUGGAUUUACCUUUAGGGGACUGGGAAAUUUAUGAAGCUCAAAGAACUAUUGAGAAUUUUUAUUAUCAUCUUUCUUUUUGCUCUUUUUCUUCUUUUUCUCAUCUCAUUUUUAAUUUUAUUUUUUAAUUUUUUUCUUUUGCUUCCUUAGAACUUUUUGCAACAUAAUACUUACUUAGCAGUGGUCAGAGAUAACGCGAUGACUCCAACCCCCAUGCUUGAACGAUGCUCGUCCUCGAGUAUGAAAGAGAGAACUAUUGUGACCCUUUUGAGAUUCAUUUGAUGCUUUCAUGAUCAAGAUCACCUGCACUCCACCUAUAUAUGCUAAACUCCUACACUAGUAGUUCACAACAAUUAUCACCCAUCCAUUCCACAAAAUAAAUACUCCACUACAUAUGUUGAUUUCUCUCAAGUUAUCAUUACAAAAGAAACAUGGGCUAUUGAAAAAGAGAGGGACACAUGAAGGUCCCAGUAUAGAAAAAAAUAUGAACACAUGAAGGUCCAAGUAUUAAAAAAAUGAAGAAAAAAAGGAGUCGGACACAUGAAGGUCCAAGUAUGUGAAUAAAGUGGAAGAUAGCCAUGUUCUCAAUAUUAAAUAUGUCCAAAGGGAGAGAGAUUAUAUAAAAUGGAGUUUCCAUACAUUCCCUAUCCACCACCCACAUAUUCACACACAUGCACAUCUUGAUCUGAUUGUAUGACUUGUUUUCUCCUUAAAUCCGGUUUUUGAAUUUGCAAUAUAUGUAAUACAAGUAUGCUUUAUUUUCAUCCCCUACCUUGAGCUCCACAAAAAGCUUUAUUAGAAGUAGGAAGGAAAAGAGGCAAACAAAUGCCUCGGUAAGGAACCAUACACAUUGAGCGAUCUGAGAUAAUCAUUCGAGGAGCAAGUCUAUGCUUUGUUCUGAGAAUAUUUCAAAAACCUAAGAUAUCUGAGUACGAGAAGUUUGUUACUUCUCUUCUUCCUUUUUAUAUAUGUGCUCUUUUAUUGUACACAAUACUAAGCUAUACUACUGUUCAAAAAGGACUAGUAUACAAAUAUUUGACGGUUAAGAUUAAUUGUAUACUACUGAAACCUUCACCUGUGGUAUGGGUAGUAUACAUGACUAGUAUAAGGGUAUUAUGGUAAAAGAACACAAAUGAUAUCACUAAAAUUUUAUUUUUGACACUAGCAUAAAGUUUAAAAUGCCAUUUCAUUUGAAAUAUCACUUUUCACAUGUAAUAAUUACUAAAUCAUGAAUAUUUAUAUCUUAUAUAUACUUAUAUACUACUAAGUAGUAUAAGCAGCAGGGGAUUACCCCUCGUGUUCCUAAAGAUAAAAUAGAUUACAACUCCAGCGGACGUGCUACAAUUCUUCAGGGCGCCGUGCCUGCCCUGAAAAAUUCCUGAAUGAGGGACGAUUUGCCGAUGAAUACUGCUGAAAUCAACAAGCUGGCCAAGAGCCUUAAAAAGUGGUUGAAUGUUGAAAGCUAAAGUAAGCAAAGCGCACUUGAUCAGUCCAACACACAACUUCCACAAAUUAAACAUGAGCUAGCACGAAGCAGUUCAUCACGAGAUCGACACACGACUGUGCGGACAUGAAGUUGUUGAUGCAUGCGGUCUCUGAUCAUCACGUACCAGCAGGCGGUGAUUUACCAUUACCGCCUGCCACUGCUGGCGGAGGAGACGGUGCCGGCGGAGUGCUCCCCCAUGAGACCGGGUACUCCAGUUCUUCUUCCGUCUUGCAAGGGACCUUGCCGCCGUCCGGGGUGCUUGCAUCGCUACGGAGGAAGGUAACCGGCCAGCAGUAAUAGGUCUUGUUGAUGAUCUUCUCCGAGUGAGCACGCUUGUAGCUGGUCUCCACCACCACCAUCACGGGGAAGCUGCGGUGGUGCCUGUCGGAGAGGUAGUGCACCGACGCGUAUUGUCCUUGCCUGUAGAGGCUUACCCACCUCCUGUACCUGUGCGAGCUGUGCGGCUGCAGGUCGAAGAUGACGUUCGUCUCCGGCUGGUACCAUAAGAACUGCACCAUCUCCGUGAAGGAAGCAUUGGGGUUGUCUAUGACCCUGAUGAUGCUGAUGUUGCACUGGAUCUGGCCGCGGCCGCUGGGGUUGAGGGCGUCGACGAUGAUCAGCAUCGGCACCUCUCCCGCUGGCGAGUACACAGACGUGGUGUUGUCGUAAAUCCACCACCAUUGUUGUGUCUGGACAUAGCCGUAGCUCUGGAGGUCCAUCUCCACGGGGCGGUUGACGAAGACGAUCACCAUCACCACCACCGCGACGGCGAGCACGGAGACCACGACGGCCACCAGUGAGCGCACCGUGGCUAGGAAGGGGAAUGUAGUGUUCUGGCCAGCGCGGCAUGUUGCCAUUUUUUCUCACGUAGGUAGCUAGGGCGGUGGAUGAUGGACUUGUCCGCUAGGGACCUGCAGCCAUAUAUACACAUAAAUUACUGACCGAAUGUUCAUUCCCUUUUUUUGGUUAGAUGACUCAGAUUAGUCUACCGGUUAACAGGGGGCUUGGCUAACAAUUAGGCUGCCUAUUAACCUCCUGUUAGGAUCAGCCAUGGCAAAGUUUUGACGGUUAACGAUCUCCCUAUAUAUCUAAACAAGUUCUUAGGUCAUGUUCCGUUCUUUAGGAGCUCCUAAAAUUCAUGUCACAUUCGAUGUGACAUGAAUUUUAGUCUGGACUAAAGAACCAAACACCCCAUUACUCCCCUCCCCCUCCCACCUCCCACACCAAUGUUCAAAAUUUUGGCCGAAAUUUCAUGAAAUUUGAUCUUUUGGUAGUGACCGAAAUUACUAUUUGCCCGAAAUUUCGGUAUGUCAACCGAAAGAUGCACUUUUUGCACCAAAUUUCACAUGAAAUUUCAUGAAAUUAGGUGUUUUCGAUGGGGACUGAAACUUUUCUGAAAACAAAAUCCCAAUCCCUGCCCCACACCGUCCAAGUAGAAUUAGGACACACUCUUUAUACAGUGAUAAUUCAGGCUUCUGCCAACCACAGGAACCGGAGUUGUUUAAUUUUUUGGCAAAAUGUCGUGCAGAUGCUUACAUACAAAGCAUUCGUACAUGCACCAAUUAUGAGUACUUCUGCAACACCGUGUCAUUAUGCUUUCAAUAUCUGGUCUUUAAAAACCUUAGAUUUACCUAUGAUGACUUGGUUAAUUAAUCUCAAGAUCAUCUGCUACCUAGAGUUUUGGUGGCACUGGAUCAUAGGGCACAGUUGUAUGUGUAUUCAUCAGAAUGAGUGCAUGUGCAUCUAUAUGAUGUCCGUGUUUUUUUUAAAAAAAUAAACCUGCGCAGGUCAUGAUGCUUCCACUAUCCUGUCUUAUCUGUUUGGAUACCAGGGGCUAUACUUUAGCUCCUGUCAUAUCAGAUGUUUGAUACUAAUUAGAAGUAUUAAAUAUUGACUAAUCACAAAACUAAUUGCACAGAUGGAGGCUAAUUCGCGAGACGAAUCUAUUGAGCCUAAUUAGUCCAUAAUUUGACAAUAAGGUGCUACAGUAACCAUUUGUUAAUGAUAGAUUAAUUAGGCUACGUCUCGCGAGUUGGUCCAGAAUUUGUGCAAUUAGAUUUAAAAUUAGCUCAUGUUUAAUUCUCCUAAUUAGCAUCAAAACAUUAACUGUGACAAGGGCUAAACUUUAGCCAAGGACAACCAAGCAACAUGCACGCCUAUAUAUGCUCUUUGAUCAGAAAAGGAAAGAAAUAUUCCCAAAAAAAAGGAAUAUGUGCUGCGGUCCAUACACGUUCUUUGAAGAAAUAUUCCAUACUUAUUUUAUGUCAUUGUAGAAGGACUUUGAAUAAGGUUCGAUGGAGUCACGUGGCUGCGUCUGCUGGCAGCUGAUCGAUGAGUCAUAUUACUAUUGGACUUGUGUUUUGGAUGCUUAUGUUUUGGAUUACAUUCAGAAUGUACGGGCAGGGGCGAAGCCACGUAUAAGAUUUUUAUUUACCACUAAUUAGACUCAAAAUUACCAUAUAAUCCUAGCUUGUAAAUUAAAAUUUACAAGUCUCUUGAGCAGUGCACCACGGUCAAUUCAGCGCUAGCUUCGCCCCUUUGUACGGGGAUUAUGCAACCCAGAAACGACGACUAAGAGCCUCAUUUCCGGACAUGCGUCCCUAUGAUCCUUUAUAUACUCCAAAUGUCUGAGUGGCCGGCUCAUACUUGCCAUGGCGAUGUCUAUCCCUCCUCUCAAAGGAUGGAGCAGCAAGCUCCUUGUAGUUGCGGCCAUGAUAGGAACCCUGGUCGUGGUCGCCAUCGCCGCCGUCAUCAUCGUCGGCCUCACUCCGCCACUGGUCUUCUUCUCCAUCCAAGAUGCAAGCCUCCAAGGCGGGCAGUUGAAACAGCAAAAAUUCUACAACUUCACCCUCUAUGCCAACAACACCAGCCGGCGCAUGGAGGUGCACUAUACCAACCUCAACACCGAGAUCUGGAUAGCCCCGUCUGAGUGGUACCCGGCCGAGGUGAGCAUGAGCGGGUUCGAGCAGCCACCGGUGAGCAUCAACGGGUACAAGCAGCCACCGGACAACGUGACCAAGGUCGCCGGGUGGGCCGAGUUCUAUCAGACGACGUCGUUGACGGCGGCGGCGCAGGGCGGCGGCGCGGGGAAUUGGCCAAACUGCACUGUGGUGGUGAUGGCCAAGGUGUUGUUCAAGGUCGGGCUGGCACGCACACGGCCGUACCACAUCAGGGUGUUCUGCUUCCCCGUCAACUUCCUCAAUACGACUCGGUACGCCAAUUGUACAUACUGAUCUCGAUCGACGUGUAUGCAUGCAUCCAUGUUGUUGAACGUGUACAUGACUGUUGUGACGUGCUCCUUUACCAUAGCUUCAGAUCCUGACUUGUAGCAUUGACAGAGUAUGCGUCUAUUAUGGCAGAGAGCCUCUUGUACAUGUAUUUAACUCAAUCCAGAGAUCAAUAAUGAAAGGAUGCGGUUUUUUUUUAGGAAACAGGAGGGGAAGUACCCCUGCUGAUUAUAUAUUAAUAUAUAGUUGACAGUACACUAGUGAUACAAACCUUGUUUAUGACACAAAGAAAGAAACAAAAAAGAUUAAGAAAAUUACAGUGAAUGCUCUAACCAUUGAACCAUUGAUUGUUUCCAAGACUCUCUGACACGAAAUACUACCAAACUGAAAAUCUGUUUGAACCGUUCCUUUGCAGCUUGAUAAGCUGGCACUAGGGCCUUUGAAGAUGCAGUCAUUGCGUGUCAUCCAAAUACUCCAGCUCAUAAUUACGAUAAUUUCCAUAAAGAAAGGCACUUGCAACUGGUUCCAGCUCAUAAUUACGAUAAUUUCCAUAAAGAAAGGCACUUGCAACUGGUUCCAGAAGCUAACGAGAAUAUCAUAAGGUUGUUGCUGCAAAUCCACAAAGAGGCCGAGAUUGAUCCAACACUCCUGUGCGAAUGGACAAUCUAGUAAUAGAUGAAAGAGGGUUUCUUCCUUGUUGUGGUUCCAGAGGACGCAGUUAUAGGAAGGGAGAGCCAUCUGCUUUCGUUUAAGCUCCACUGGCGGCAGAGCCGCAUCCUGUGUCGGCUCAUCCGCGGCAUCCUGUGGGUGCGAAGCAUGCUAAGCCACCCUAACCUCUGCUUCAAGCAGCUCUCCGUGCUAGGGUUCUUCCAACUGUCGUCGCCUUCGCCGUUCAUGGUGCCAACCAAGGCAGUGCCCAAGGAGGUAAUUAAAGAUUUCUUCAUCGGUAAUGUCGCGCGGUUCUUGGUUUCAAGUACUGCCUGUAUUUUUUUAUUUUUUAUUUUUGCCUUGUCAUUUGGUCCGUCAGAACUAAGUUUGUCGAAUUCCUUCUGAAUAAGCUUGAGACGCUGGUCGUGCUUGUUUGUUGGUGUGCCUACGUGCCGCGUAGUUGUCGUAGCAAAUACUUUCGGUUCCAUAUCGCCUGUGACUGGACCGGGAUGUUCUUCAAUCUGUUAUGGCCCUGUAUUCUGUUUUUAUAUGGAUCCCACAUAUAAUCAAUUUCCAACAUUUGCUUUCCUCUGUACAUUCAGCAUGUUGUCUUUUUUUUUUUUUUGAAGCGCAUUCAGCAUGUUUCGCAGAUGUUUGGAAGGAUGAUCCAAAUUCUGAAUGCACAGACCCUGUUGGGAAAUUGAUUUCCCCACUGCGUGUCUGUGUUUACAUGCAUCUUCUAACUGUGGUUCCAAUGGCCCGUCUAGGCCCAUACAGGCCUAUCAGGUGGAUGGGCCGGCCGGCCUCCUGGAUCAACAAGACCGGUAUCCCUUCUUGGCCCGUCCGCCCCCGCUGUAGAAACAAAACCAGAACCAGCAGAUCCCCCGGGCCCUGAAGAGAAAGACGAUGGCAACAGAAGAAAGAGCUCGCGACGAAGCCGGCGAAAGCCCCCCAAACCCUCCCCAGCCCAGGCAGCGGCGGCGCGACGAGAUGGCCGACGACCCCACCGCCGGCGGCGGGAACACCGUCGAGGACGUCGUCCGCGCGGAGGUGAGCAUCCCCGGCCGGCCCUCGUCCUCUUUGCUGCGAGUGCCGGGGAAUCCGAUCUCCGCCCGGGCCGACCUGGCUCUGCUCGGCUGCCUCCCGAUCUGCCCGCGCGGGUGGCGGCGCCUCGCCCCUAGUUCGGUUUCGGGUUAGAGGUGUCCCAGCGUGGUGUCUGGGCGGGGGGAAUCCGGCGACGAGGCGUUCUCCCUCCCGUUGGCUCGGUUGGCGCGGACGGACGCGGUGGGCCUGGUUGGGGAAAUCUGUGCCCGUUUCGAUUUGGGUGUAGAAUAGGUAUACGUCUUCAAAAUUGAUAGAAUUAGGCCCGUUUAUAAAAAAUUGAUAGAAUCUGCCUGCAAGGCGCGGUUUCCCAGCUGGCCCGUCCUCAUUUACUAAUCCCCACCAAGCUUAGCAUCUUUCCUUUCGAUGAAAUAAAAAAAUGUUAAUGUCAACAGCUCCUCGAUUACCGCAUAGAUUAACACCUCUUUAGCCUUUGUGGCACGGCACCUAAUACUUUCCUCACCUUUGCAGUGCCGUGGGCCCGCCACUUCCCUUCUGGCCCACAAGUCAUGGAGGCGCGCGAGGAGGGGUAUCGGUUUCACGAUGAUUAAUCAAGAAAGGCCCAAGACACGUCACGCUGGGGGUGGGGGAGGGAAGACACCGCACCGCAUGCACCUGCAUGCACCUUUGCCUUUGCUUUUCCCCGGCGUCCUAGGGACCUCGAGCUCGCCCGCCUAGGAGCUCCAGCAGCCGGGCCGCUCCGCCGCCGGUGCGGCAACCACGCCGCCGUCAGACCACCUCGCGCGGCCACCCCGCGCCGGUGCGCCGUGCGCGGCGGUGCUGUCCCGCCGCUCCUCCGCCUACCGUCCUCCUGCGCCACCACCAGCUAGCGCACCGGCAGCACCGCGAGCUGCCGCGCCGCCCCGACGACGUUGGUCAUUCCGGAGCCCGGUGUCGUCACCAGCGUCGCCGGAGAAGGUAAUUACCUGAAGCAAUUUGUAGAAACGAAUAGUACUGGUUCGUUCACUUAUUUCAUUGCUCAAACUUAAUUUCUGCUUAUUAGAGUUUGUGCCUUGUCGUGAGACUAAAUUAGCUGCUUAUUCUGCAGGUUGCAUUCAGGAGAUCGAGCUGCCGGAUCGGAGGAGGUCAUAUCAGCCGUGUUGGUUGUGCACUUGUGUUGCUGCCGGCGGAGAAGGAACCAUGGUGAUCGGGCCACUGAUCUCCAUAAUGUAGUUGAACUAAAAUAAUCCCCUUCUGAGUUUAGCAUCUUUCCUUUGGAUGAAAUAAAAAAUUGUUAUUCCGGAUCCGUAAUCUCAACUGCUCCUCCAUUACACAUAGCAUCUUUCCUUGAGUUUAGCAUAUUAUUUCAACAUUUCAAAACUCUAGAUUCAACAUUUCUUGAAACUUAGUGCAACAUUUUAGAUAAAUCGAUUCAACAUUUAGCAUAGUAUUGUUGAAAAUGUUGAGCUAGUAUAUGUUAUUUCAACAUUUCUGCAAAGCUAGCUCAACAUUGAGGUAAUGUAGUUCAACAUUUUGUGUAGUAUUGUUAAAAUAGUGUAUCUAAAAUGUUGAGCUAAUACACAAAAAGUGUUGAGCUAGUAUAUAUUAUUUAAACAUUUCAAAAGUCUAGAUUCAACAUUUAUGGAAACCACAUUUUAGAUAAACUGGUUCAAUAUUUUGCAUAGCAUUGUUGAAAUAGUGUACCUUAAACGUUGAGCUAAAUAUAUAAAAAUGUUGAGCUAAUAUAUCUAAAAUGAUGAAACUAAGAAAAUAAAAAUGAAAAAAAUAUAUACAGUCAUGUGGGAUCUUAAUCCGUUAGAAAAAUUUCGAAAAGGCUCAUAGUUUAAUCGGAAUUAAAAUUAAAUGCACCGUUAGAGAGAUAAGUAAGUUGAAAAGUUCGAAAUCAAAACUCACAUCACCCAACAAGUAGCUGAAACCUAUCCGUCCUUUCAGCAGCUCCACCCACCUCGCACCAGCAUACUAGCACAUGGUGGUCCCCAGCCACCUCGAUGCCGUUGCGUCGAAGGAGAGGGCGGAACCGACGAGGGUCGCCGGCGGCUCCCACCCCGGCCGAACGCGUCCUGACCGACUCCGGCAGGGGGCGGCAGGGCCUCCCGCAGGUGAGCGCUUCCAUCCGUGGUCCGCAGCAGUAAUGUCUGAUUUUUCGCUUUCUUCUCCAGAAUUCGUCGCAUAUACUUAUAUGUCAUCGUCCUCUUAUUUUUCGCUUUCUUCUCCAGAAUUCGUCACAUAUACAAAGCUUUCACGAUUUCGAUGAGAGAUUUGGUCAUGUUUGUGGCCACGGAGACACAGUCUAGCUAGCGUAGUGAAAAGUGGCACUAGUGAUUGCAAUACGCACGGAAAUUGGUUUUUUGUCUGUUCUUUCUCCAUCUCAAUCAUCAAUCAAAUGGGGGUAGUCGUCGGUACGCCGGGUGGGCCGAGUUGGCCAAACUGCACAGUGGUGGUGGCAGCCAAGGUGUUGUUCAAGGUCGGGCUGGCACGCACACGGCCGUACCAUAUCAGGGUGUGUCCUGCUUCCCCGUCAACUUGGGGAGGUGGGCCAAGCGACAGCUAGCUGUGGUGUGGUGGGCAUCCAGCAGGCGCGCAGGGCCCAGCCGUGGCCGUGAUUAUGCGCCGGGGUGAGAGAAGAAGACACGGCACCUAAUACUUUCCUCACCUUUGCAGUGCCGUGGGCCCACCACUUCCCUUCUGGCCCACAUGUCAUGGAGACACGUCAGGCUGUGGUGGACAAGGGAAGACACCGCACCGCACGCACCUCCACCACUUGCCUUGCCUUUGCCUUCGCUUUUCCCACUUGUGCUGUGGGAAGACACCGCAUACACCUCCAGCUCGAGCUCGCCCGCCUAGCUAGGAGCUCCAGCAUCCGGUCCGCUCCGCCGCCGGUGCAGCAACCACGCCGCCGUCAGACCGCCUCGCGCGGCCACCGGUCGUCCCCGCGAUACACCGCCGCCGGUGCGCCGUGCGCGGCGGCGCUGUCCCGCCGCUCCUCCGCCUACCGUCCGCCUGCGCCACCACCAGCGCACCGGCAGCACCGCGAGCUGCUGCGCCGCCCCGACGUUGGUCCUUCCUGAGCCCGGUGUCGUCACCAGCGUCGCGGAGAAGCUAAUUACCUGGAGCAAUUUGUAGAAACAAAUAGUACUGGUUCGUUCACUUAUUUCUUUGCUGAAACUUAAUUUCUGCUUAGAGUUUGUGCCUAAAUUAGCUGCUUAUUCUGCUGGUUGCACGCAGGAGAUCGAGCUACGGGCGUACGGCCGGAUCGGAGGAGGACAUAUCAGCCGGGUUCCUGUUGGUUGUGUACUUGUGUUCCUGCCGGCAGAGAAGCAACCAUGGCCGAGUUACUGAUCGGGCCACUGAUCUCCAUGGUGAAGGAGAAGGCAUCCAGCUACCUGCUGGACCAAUACAAGGUGAUGGAAGGCAUGGAGGAGCAGCGCAAGACCCUGGAGCGCAUGCUGCCAGCAAUCCUGCAAAUCAUCCAGGAUGCGGAGGAGAAAGGAGCCUCCCGAUCUAAAGUUGCAGUUUGGCUUAAAGACCUCAAGACAGCGGCCUAUGAGGCCAACGACGUCUUUGAUGAGUUCAAGUACGAGGCGCUUCGGCGAGAAGCCAAGAAGAAGGGCCACCAAAGCAAGCUUGGAGCGGAGGUAGCAAGACUCCUAGUCCCCGCUCGUAAUUCCAUUGUAUUCCGUUACAGGAUGGGCAAGAAGCUAAGCAGGAUUGUGCAGACCAUCGAGGCCCUGGUCACCGAGAUGAAUAAAUUUGGUUUCAGACACUUGCAGCAAGCACAGCCAUCAAGGCAGUGGCGACAGACAGAUUCCAUAAUCAUUGACUCCGACACAGAUAUUCUUAGCAGAUCUAGAGAUCGGGAGAAGAAGAAAAUCGUGGGGAUGCUCCUUGAUCAAGCUAGCAACAUGGAUCUCAUGGUUCUUCCAAUUGUUGGGAUGGGUGGGAUGGGCAAGUCCACCUUUGUGCAACUCAUUUACAAUGACCCUGCAAUCGAGAAGCACUUUGAGCUUCGGAGGUGGUGCUGCGUGUCAGAUGAUUUCGAUGUCAGUACCAUUGCAAGCAACAUCUGCCAGACCAAUGAGAAAUAUCGUGAAAAAUCAUUGCAGGAGCUCCAGAGUACAAUAAGUGGAAAAAGAUACCUCAUUGUGUUAGAUGAUGUAUGGAAUCGGGAUGCUGAUAAGUGGGGAAAACUAAAGACCUGCCUUAAGCAGGGUGGCAAGGGCAGUGCGGUACUAACAACAACUCGUGAUGCAGAAGUGGCUCGCAUUAUGACCAUGGGUGUAGCUCAAGCCCAUAAUAUCGAGAAUCUGAGUGACGAGCAUUUAAAGGAAAUUGUCCAGAGCAGAGCAUUCAGCUUGCAAAAUCCAAAUAUGGAAGAGCAAGAUGGCAUUCUCAGUGGAUUUGUUCGUCGAUGCGUUGGAUCUCCCUUGGCUGCCAAAGCCUUUGGCUCUAUGUUGAGUAACAGGACUAGUGUAAAUGAAUGGAAGGAUGUAUUAGCUAAAAGUGACAUUUGUAGUGAGAAAACCGGAAUUUUACCGAUCCUCAAGCUCAGUUUUGAUGACCUAUCCUCAGAUAUGAAGCAGUGCUUUGCAUUUUGUGCUUUAUUUCCUAAAGAUUAUGAGAUUGAUGUGGACCUCUUGAUUCGACUGUGGAUGGCACAUGACUUCAUACCUGUGCAGGAGGAUGACAAUCUAGAAACCAUAGGAAAAUAUAUUUUUGAGGAGCUAACUCGGAGGUCAUUCUUUCAAGAUGUCAGGCAAACACUUCAAUUUGACUAUUUUGGAAGCAGGUUGUCGCUUCGUAAGUCAACCAUAUGCAAGAUACAUGAUCUCAUGCAUGACAUUGCUCUAUCUGUUCUGGGGAAAGAAUGUGUCACUAUAGUUGGUAAGCCGAGCGUCAACAAGCUGUUGCUAAAUCCGACCCGCCACGUCUUCUUAUCACUAUAUGGUUUCAAUCCUACUUUCUGGAAAGAACAGGUUACAAGUCUACUAGAUCAUCUAUUGAAGAAACAAACUGCAAUGCUCCAUACGUUGUUUAUCAAAGAUUAUGGUCAACCCCUUGAUAUAUCAAAGUACACUUCACUGCGAGCAUUACACCUUCCAGCAAAUGAAGAGCUAAGGUAUCCUAAUCUGUCGCCACAUGAACAGCUUACAAGACACAUACAACACCUAAGGUAUCUUAAUCUGUCAUCACAUUGGUUCGAGAAACUUCCUGAAGGUAUAAGCAUUAUGUAUCAUCUACAAACGUUGGACCUCUCUCAUUGCAAAUACCUUCGUCACCUUCCAAAGGAUAUGAAGUAUAUGGCAAACCUCCGACACCUCUAUACCCAUGGAUGCAUAUCAUUGACAUGCAUGCCUCCAGGACUUGGACAGAUCACUUCUCUGCAGACUCUAACAUAUUUUGUUAUUGGUGAUGGCUUGGGAUGUAGUACUAUUGGGGAACUUCAAAACUUAAACCUUGGUGGAGAGUUAGAGUUAAGUGGUCUGCAAAAUGUAACAGAAGUGCUUGCAAAAGCAGCCAGUCUUGAAAAUAAAGAGAGACUCACACACUUAUCUCUCGCGUGGAAUGAUGAUGCCCGUGAGAAACCAGAUUCUCAUAAUGAGGUGUUAGAUGCCCUUAAACCUCAUCACCGGCUAGAGAUGCUAAGAAUAAAGUCCUACAAAGGCACCAAAUUACCGUCAUGGAUAACAGAUCUUAGUCUGUUGCAGCACUUGACUGAGCUCCAACUGGUUGGUUGUAGGCUGUGCGAGGAAUUUCCUCAAUUCUGCCAUUUCAAAGCCCUUGAAGUUCUGUAUUUGAAAAAGUUGGACAAAUUGCAAAGCCUAUGCAGUCAUAUGGUGUCUACGCCAUUUCCAGCACUGAAGCAACUCCAGUUACAUGAUUUGGAGAGCUUGGAGAGAUGGGUCGCAACAGAAGGAAAAGAAGAUGAAUUAUCCUUUCCUGUACUUGAGGAGGUUGAAAUAGAGAACUGUCCAAAGUUGACUAGCCUACCUGAAGCACCAAAGCUCAAGGUUGUAAAGCUGGAUGAAGGCAAGCCGCUGCUCUCCUUAGGAAUAGUUAAAUCAAGGCACAUGUCUUCAAUUUCUAAGCUACUACUGCGUGUCCGUGACACAGAAGCACUGCCUCAGAUAGAUUAUAAUUGGGAUUCAUCACAGAAACUGGAACUAUCUUUGGGUGGCACAGAAGCCGCACCUCUGUCACAACUGAGCAUAUUUGGCUGCAACUUUUUAUUCGUAUCAAGCCACUCACAGCUAACACCUGGGGUCUGGAAAUGGUUUGAACAUCUUGCAGUUUUAACAAUUGCAAAAUGUGAUGUGCUCAUCUACUGGCCAGAAGAAGUGUUCCAAAGCUUGGUAUCUUUGAAGUACUUGUUCAUUUUCUCCUGCAACAAGCUAAUAGGGCCCACACAAGCGAAAGGUGACAAACCUACACAAACAACAGAUCAAGUCCUGCCACAUCUAAACAUGAUACGUAUACACAAUUGUGAAAGCAUGGCACAGCUCUUCAUUCUUCCCCCAUCUAUCAGAAUUAUUCAUAUUUUUGAGUGCCCUAAGCUUGAGUUCAUAUGGGGAAAAGAGGAGCAUCUUGACACAUAUGCAUCGCUGGAACAUUGCCGCGACCCUGCAUCCACCACUGGUAACCUAGAGCAAUCGCCGUCUCCAAUUAUUCGCCGUCCAUGCCUUGUAGAUCUAACUAUAAGAGGAUGUGAUAGCCUGGUAACACUUCCAAAUCUACCACCGUCCCUCAAGGAAUUAUUCAUCCGGAAGUGUGAGAAGCUCUGCUCUGUGUCAGGAGACCUGUGUGCACUCGAGACCCUACAGAUUGUUAACUGCAAUAAGUUACAGUCAGUCAAUUCCUUGGGAGACCACCCAUCAUUAGAAACACUGUUUCUUUCUGGCUGCCGAUGCCUUGCAUCUUUAGGAUGUGAUGGUGGUCGUGGGAGUUACUCUGCUCUUCAGUGCCGUGAGAUCGAAGACUGCCCAGCCAUAGAUAUGAAGCAGUUUUACUAACGCCAUCAAACAGCUGCUUGACAGCUUUGAAUAUGAAGACGUAUCACACGUUCAUUCAAGCAGCUCUGAUGAAGGUACGACCUUUCACUUUCCUCUUAUUCAAUUUGUUUCCUUCAAAUUUCCCUUCUUUGCAUGCCCUCCUAUUUUGUUGACGAUCUGGUUUAUAGAUGGGCUUGCGGGGUGGGAUUUUGGGGUUUCAUCUUCGUUCCGGCUUUUAGACGGUCCUUUCUCACUGACGUGACCCCACAUAUAUUUUAGUUUAUACGGCUAUUGGUUUUCAGUCUUCGAUGCAGUUGAAGUGCAUAGGGAAAUUCUGGAAACAUGUUCUAUCCCUUGGUGUUGAGAUCAGCUGAUGCGGAAUCACUGAAGUACUACUGAAACGAGAUCCUGAUCGGUCUCAGUUGUGGAGAGCAAUUUGUGAUGAAUGGAAGCAGUCCCAAGGCUUCAAGAACUCAUGGAGUCGUGCUGUACCAUUCUCCACUGCCAGGGCCUAAACUAGGUACAUGGAAGGCGCACAGGUUGGGAUAGUAAAAAACCAUACCUUUGUCUGUGUUAGAGCAACUCCAAGAGGCUGCUAAUCUUACCCCAAUACCUUUUUUAGGAAAAAAAAAGAGAAAAAAUGAACUCCAACAAUCCACCUAAACCUUCCCCAAUUUUUUAGCGACGCUAAAAAACAGCCUGCCAUCGCGUAUAUUUUAGCGUUGGCGUUCCUUCCCCAAUCCUGAUUCCCGCACACCCGCGCGUCCCUUCCGAUGGGCCCAAUACGAUGACGUGGCCUGUGUUUGAAAUAUUGGGGGCUAUUUAUUAGCGAUCUGUUGUGGACUGAUAUGCUUUUGGGGGAAAUUUUUUUUGGGAGAACCCCCAAUACAUAGUUUUGGGGAAGAAUUUUUUAGGAUACUCUUGGAGUUGCUCUUAGAGCAUCUUCAAGAGUCUGCCAAAAAACUCUUCCCCAAAACCACAUCAUCCCACAAUAGAUCCCUAAUAAUAAAUUUUCCAAUAUUUUAAAAUUUGCCACAUCAGCAUGCGUGGACCCUAAGCUGGGCUGCCCCCUUCCCCCGCUGGAGCGUUUUCGCGCUUUCGCACUGUGGCUGCCUGAGCAGGGGUUGGUCUGUGCUGAUUUGCUGAACCAUGCAUAUUAUAUGCACUGGGACUGUCAUGCCCUCAGAAAAGCAUCAUCAUCUACUGGUAUGACGUCAAUUCAGCCUCAAACUCUCAACACUGAAGGCCUUCGAGGACUAGGACUACGCCAGCGCCACCCAUUGAAUCCCAUCCCCAUCUCGGCCACGUGCCAUGCCAUGCCCAGCCGUGGGGCACUGGGCAGCCCACGUGCAGCCACUUGUGGCCACGGACGCCCAGCCAGACCAUCACCCCCAAGAGGAGGAACGCCUUAUCUUUUCACCAUGAGAAAGCAGAGUCUAACGGUCCGUGGGCAAUAGGAAAAUCAGCACCGGCGGACUCCUGUGUUCACCUUCAUAUUUUUCGUGGUCUAUAUUAUGCGAGUUAUAGCAGUCCUAGGGAAUUUGUUUGGUGUCUCGGAGUUGUCAUAUUCCUAUUAAUGAUUGUGACAGCUUUUAUAGGAUACGUACCACCUUGGGGUCAGAUGAGCUUUCGGGGAGCAACAGUAAUUACAAGCUUAGCUAGCGCCAUACCAGUAGUAGGAGAUACCAUAGUGACUUGGCUUUGGGGUGGUUUCUCCGUGGACAAGGCUCUUGGAGUUGCUCUUAAUCAAUUCUCAUUUAGCACUCUGUUGUUAACAUGUUACCCCCAUGCUUUUCAUUUUUUCUGUGCAGACAUGACCCAUUUAUCCUUAAAAGGCAUAAAGGAGGGCACUCACAUGUACGCACGACUGGCAACUGGAAGCUUCGUUGCAAGCCUCUGCUAACGACCAAGUUUGUUUUCACGCCACUAUACCAGCUGCUGGUAAUUCUCUUGUCACUAAUGUCAUCCUGUCAUCCAUCAAAGCCGUGGAGAAUAUGAUGCCACUCUGAGUCCUUCAGUUUGCCACGUGAGCCGAUGAAGCAGAAACAGAUGAUGAUGAUGGAUGAUAUAACUGCGGGGAUGCAGACUUGCUUUCAACGGUCGAAAUGGAGCUACAAAUGAUUAGUCGUAGUCGUGUGUGGUCCUUCCAUCACCUUGUGUUAUUGAUCCCGUUUGUAUGUGUUGCGUUCUCUAUAUCCCUCCAUAGCUUUUCAGUUGUUGUCUCUUUUACGACUAUUUUGAUUCCUCUUUUCCUUUUUAUUAAUAUAACACAAAAAUCCUCUUGCCAUGUUUUUGAAAAAACAAAAUCGUGAGGAUGCUGCUUCAUGAAGCUAGCAACAUGGAUCUCAUAUGGUUCUUCCGAUUGUUGGGAUUGGUGGGAUGGGCAAGACCACCUUUAAUUUGUGCAACUCAUUUAUGACCCUGAUCGUGAUGCAUUUUGAGCUUCAGAGGUGGUGCUGUGUGUCAGAUUCGAAAAUGUUUUUUGACUCUUUCAUCACCGCCUUCAGUAGCUCAUGCCGGUCAGGUCUUCUCCAGUGACCAGUUCCUUCACCUUGGUUGCGCACCCCCUCACCUGGGCUUGCAGCUAGGUCAUAGCCUUGGCAUUCCGCAUCAUCUCAGCCAUGGCAUAGUCUAGUGCUACGUAGGUUGUGUCCGUCCCGGCUUCAAACAUGUCCUUCAUGAACAUAUCCGUAGAACUCCAAUCAAAUUUAACCAAACUAGUCAUGAAACAUGUCAUAUGUACCUCUUGUGAGAAUUAAAUUGGAGGCUUAAAAUCCUUCAAUUAGUAACAGUAAGAAAUUAAUUAAAAUUUGGAGUUUUGUUGCAUACAAGUUGCCAGUCACCAGUACAGAAAUGACCUUUAGUCCUGGUUAGGAAACCUUGGGAAACCUCAAAGAGCUCGGUUUUCCCGACCGGGAUUAAGUAUUCGGGAUUUAGUCCUGUAACACCAUGUGCUUUGCCUUAUAAUGAAAGCCACUAAAAAUUCGAACUUCUAAAAUUUUCCUAUAAACUAAAAUGUGCCUUGCUAUUUCAUACCUCAAAACCCUUUCAAAAUAAAUUUUACAAAACAACCUUCAUCAAAAUUCACCAUAUGCAUUUUAUUGUGCUUGUUUGAGUGUUGUUUGCUUGUGUGCUUUGUUGAAUCUUUUGGUGGCAACCAACCCCUUGACCUCCUUUCCAAAUUUCCCACAAAUCCUUGUUAAACAUCCCUUCGAAUUCCUCAAAUCCAUUCAAACUCCAUUUCAAAUCUCUUCCAAAAUUAUUCAAACCAUUUCCUUGGGUGCAGGCUCAAUUUCCCUCUCCUCUCCUUUCGGCCUGGCGUGGCUUGCUUCUCCUUCUCCCUUUCAGCCCAGCUCGGCCCGCCCCUCCUCGCCUUCUUCUUUCCCGAGCAGGCCACCUCCUCCUCCUCCUUUACUUCCGCACGGCCCGGUCCAGCCCACAACGGCCGCCACCUCUCUCUUCCUCUCCGCACCAGCACCGCCCAUGAGAAUGGCCCGUGACGACCCGGCUCCCACUCCAUGUCAGCAUUGCGUCCGCACACAGCCGCUGAUGAGUAGGUCCCACUCAAUAGCGUCAUCCCCAACCUCGUGUCGUCUUCCCCAAUGCGUCUCGUUGCCGCCGCCUUGUCCCAUCUCCGCCCGUCGCCUAUGCCGUCGUGCCGGCCCCGAAGAAAUAUCUCGCCGCUCCAUCCCAUCAUGGCCCCACCUGUCAUCCCGCACGGUCCUAAAAGAUCUCCGCCGCCCGCUCCACGGACCUCUGUGCACAAUCGACCUCUCGCGGCUAUAAAAGCUGGCGAGCCCCGCCAUCGCUCCCCGCACCUCAAGCUCGAGCUCCCUCCCUCUUCUUCUGCUCGAGCUCGCCUCCUCCCUCUUUAGUCCUCUCCUCCCUCCACCGGAGCACGGCUUCCUCCGAAGCCACGCCUCGCCGAGCCCUGCCCUUCCCUCUUCCUGUCUAGCGCGCCACCGCACAGAACUGCCAGCCAAGCACUAGCGCCGCCACCGUGACAAACUCGAGGAGGACAAAGUGCCGAGCGACGUUGGAUCGGUAACAAGCGGCCCUGAUCUGCCUGAGCUAAUUCGCGUCCCACACCCGAUGACAAGUAGGCCCGAGUCUAACGCCGAAAAUGCCGUCUGUUGGUGACCAGUGGGCACCACAUCAGCAAGCAAGCUCCCAGACAUCACCAUGGCACUGGGAGGGUGCCUCGCAAGCACCACGCGGACACACCCGUAGCAAAUGACACGUCAUCAUGGGUCCACAUGUGAGUUACUGUGUGACACUGUGCGGUCAACAGUCAACACUGACCAGGGACACACCUGGAGUAACUGUGUCGACGGUAAAAUUACUACGCGUACUCAGGUUAGUGUACACGGAAGUCUCGUUUACCCCUUUCCUUGCACAAGCAAGCUCCCAGACAAAUUGUCACUCGCCAUGGCACUGGGAGGGUGCCUCGCAAGCGCCACGCGGACACACCCGUAGCAAAUGACACGUCAUCAUGGGCCCACAUGUGAGUUACUGUGUGACACUGUGCGGUCAAUAGUCAACACUGACCAGGGACACACCUGGAGUAACUGUGUCGACGGUAAAAUUACUACGCGUACUCAGGUUAGUGUACACGGAAGUCUCGUUUACCCCUUUCCUUGCACAGAAAAAUUUCCAAAAAAUUCCUAAAAAUACUAGAGCCACCCUAUAACCCAUCCAAACCUUUUGCACCCCAUUUCCAUCAUACAAAAUUAUGGGAAAAUAAAUUUCACCACUCAGGCACUCAUAAAUUCCAAUAAAUCACAUAAAUUCCCGAUAAAUUCCCAAAAAUCAUCUCUCCUGUCAAACUCCGUUUCUGUCAAUUCUUCCACCAAAAUUCUUCUAAAAUUAAAUCCUUGAUAUCCCUUCCGGUGCCACCAUUAGUUUCUUUGUUUGAUUCUUGAUUUGUUCAUGUAUUGCUCUUCGACCUGUUAGUCACUAACAUCACACAAACCCCUUAUGCUCAUGCAUGCAUAUACACUGUAGCAUGUAUACAACUAUAUGAGUAUACAUACACCCCCCUUCACACACCUACCACCGAUACUUUUUUUAUUUUUGUUUUUGCAAAAAAAAAAUCAAAACUAUUUAGUCCCAGUUGGUAAUACCAACAGGGACUAAAAGGGGCGGGAGGUAGCCACUGGCGCCGUGAUCGUUUUCUUCCGGUUGGUAUUACCAACUGGGACUAAAAGGGGAUAUUAUAUCCCGGUUUUGGGACCCGUGAUAAAAGACCCCCCUAUCUCGACAAGUUAAUCCUAGAUGCAUUUUCGGAAGAUAUGCACCCUACAAACCGGUACUAAUACCGAAUUUUCUAAUAGUGAAUGGUGCCGGUAGGCGUCCCCUUCAGCUGCAUUCUCUUCCAACCUGCAUACAAAGAGUCACUGGAGAUAGCGUGAUACAACCUCGGUUAGUCAGGCGAUCAAAUGAUAUAACCUCGAGUUAAUCUAGGCCGAAGCCAAUUAGCUUCCGUGUUUCUAUCUGAAGCUGGCAGAGUUAGCGCCUUGUCUGGGCGAGCUAAGACCCGGGUUAUAGGCGAAGGGGAUGAGUUUUGGACAGAUCCCCAACAUCUCGAAAAAUUAAUCUCGGUUGGGCAUUGGAGAGUUAUGCUCCUUCCCAACCGGGACUAAUAGUCAGUUUUCUACUACUGGUUGUGUAGAGGUGAGGAGGCGAGGGUUUUAGGUGAGGACGAUGAGGUGGCACCGCUCCCUUUCUCCGAUUCAACUGUCUCUAUAAAAUUGAUAUGGUUAGAUAUGUCAUAUUCUGUGGUACCACCUCGCGAUCACGAUGUGUGUGCCUCUAUAUAUGUUGUGCCAUUGCAGUCCAUUCGAUCGAGGGAGUACCAUAGCGUGACUGAACUACUGAAAAUGAAAAGCCUACACUUCUGCAACAACACAGUCUACCCCUAUGUUUACAACCUGACUUCCUCCUACAUCGACCAGAACAAUGAGGCCACCAUGGUGACCACCACCUUGGUCAUGUUUAUGCUGGCCGUGUUCGUCUUCAACCUCAACCUCUUCAGCCGCUUCUUGGACGUGAGCGCGAUUCUCAACCCUAGCGUCCGCCUCUUCCUCUCCACCUCCCUGUCCCUCUUCCUGCCGGUCAUGUCCUACCUCUUCUCCGAGGCCAAGAACCAAGGUGCAACGACGACCAUGGCUGCUAGUACUAGUAGCUCCAGUUAUGGCGAGCUCGGUGACGAGCUGUCACUUCGAGCUAGGACGAUCCUCAUGUGGAUGCUUCUUGUGGAGCUCCUACGCAAGAAGGUGGAGGCCGUCCUGGUCAACGUGGGCAUGCAGUGGUACUCAGGCGCCAUCGAUCGCUUCGCCCGCAUUGUUUGGCUCUGCUAGCUCGUCUUCUACAAUGUCAAAAGCCCCGGCAAGAAGGCGAUCUACGGCACCUUAUGGGUCCUCACUGCUGCCAAGUUCCUGCAAAGGGUCGUCGUCAAGAUGGUGCUGGAGCGUUCCUUCGCCUACGGAAGGAACACCCAGCUGCUCAACUCAUACAUGGCCCAGAUCAUCCAACAACAAGAGCAAGAGGAGCACUUGGGGUCAUCGUAGGCGGAGCUGUUGAAGAAGUGCGAGUACACCGUGAUGGGAGAAGACAACCUGGAGAGGACGGCUGGCCGGCAUGCAUGGCUACCAGGUCGAGCUGAACAAGGCAGCCGUUGUCACCGUUGGUGACAUUUGGACGCAGGCAGCAGCCGAGCCGGACAGCCUCCUCCGGAGAGAACACCUCAGAAGGCUCUGCCUCUCCUUUGUUCUCUACAAGCUGCUGCGCCGGAGGUUCGAGGACAUCCCCACAACAAGGGAGGAGACCCGGAACUGCCGGAACCUCAUCUUCAAGGGCAUGUUGAAGGAGGAGGCGGAGCAAGGUGCCGAGGUCGCACUGUUCCAGUCUUCAACGAUGAGACCCAGUUCGUUUGCGAGUACUACCAUUCCGUCCUACCCGUCGUCUUGUCCGACCCUUUCUUCUUCAUAGCCAACUACAUCUUGUUUCCCAUUGUAGUUUGUGCCUUCUGCCUCCUAACAUUGAUCAUCUGCGGCAAUGGGAGCGUCCACUACGCCUACCAGAGCAUCAAAAGUGACAACUACAUCAUAUACACUGGCGCGACGACGCUGACCAGAUGCCUCCUGAGAAACAUCGCCCAUUCACCCGAGGUGCUAGCUGUUCGCCAGCAUCGACCUAGGCACCACCACUCUGCUCAUCCUGGCCUUCGUCUACGAGGAAGUCGUGGAGGUCCUCGUCUUUAUCCUCUCCAAUUGGCUCAUCGUGUCGCUCAUCUGUCAGUACACCGCCAAGCUCCACUGGCGGCAGAGCCGCAUCCUGUGUCGGCUCAUCCGCGGCAUCCUGUGGGUGCGAAGCAUGCUAUAAGCCACCCUAACCUCUGCUUCAAGCAGCUCUCCGUGCUAGGGUUCUUCCAACUGUCGUCGCCUUCGCCGUUCAUGGUGCCAACCAAGGCAGUGCCCAAG
rnacentral:lncRNA from 1 species